rnacentral:rRNA from 1 species
UACAGAGGUCUCAAGCGUUGUUCGGAUUCAUUGGGCGUAAAGGGUGUGUAGGUGGCGCGCUAAGUCGGGUGUGAAAUUUCGGAGCUUAACUCCGAAACUGCAUUCGAUACUGGCGUGCUUGAGGACUGGAGAGGAGACUGGAAUUCAUGGUGUAGCAGUGAAAUGCGUAGAGAUCAUGAGGAAGACCAGUGGCGAAGGCGGGUCUCUGGACAGUGCCUGACGCUGAGACACGAAGGCCAGGGGAGCAAACGGG